GGCUUAGAGUUUGAUCAUGGCUCAGGACGAACGCUGGCGGCGUGCCUAAUACAUGCAAGUCGAACGAAACUUUCUUACACCGAAUGCUUGCAUUCACCGUAAGAAGUUGAGUGGCGGACGGGUGAGUAACACGUGGGUAACCUGCCUAAAAGAAGGGGAUAACACUUGGAAACAGGUGCUAAUACCGUAUAUCUCUAAGGAUCGCAUGAUUCUUAGAUGAAAGAUGGUUCUGCUAUCGCUUUUAGAUGGACCCGCGGCGUAUUAACUAGUUGGUAGGGUAACGGCCUACCAAGGUGAUGAUACGUAGCCGAACUGAGAGGUUGAUAGGCCACAUUGGGACUGAGACACGGCCCAAACUCCUACGGGAGGCAGCAGUAGGGAAUCUUCCACAAUGGACGCAAGUCUGAUGGAGCAACGCCGCGUGAGUGAAGAAGGUCUUCGGAUCGUAAAACUCUGUUGUUAGAGAAGAACACGAGUGAGAGUAACUGUUCAUUCGAUGACGGUAUCUAACCAGCAAGUCACGGCUAACUACGUGCCAGCAGCCGCGGUAAUACGUAGGUGGCAAGCGUUGUCCGGAUUUAUUGGGCGUAAAGGGAACGCAGGCGGUCUUUUAAGUCUGAUGUGAAAGCCUUCGGCUUAACCGGAGUAGUGCAUUGGAAACUGGAAGACUUGAGUGCAGAAGAGGAGAGUGGAACUCCAUGUGUAGCGGUGAAAUGCGUAGAUAUAUGGAAGAACACCAGUGGCGAAAGCGGCUCUCUGGUCUGUAACUGACGCUGAGGUUCGAAAGCGUGGUAGCAAACAGGAUUAGAUACCCUGGUAGUCCACGCCGUAAACGAU
rnacentral:rRNA from 1 species